GUGUCAGCAGCCGCGGUAAUACGUAGGUGGCGAGCGUUGUCCGGAAUCAUUGGGCGUAAAGCGCGCGUAGGCGGCUUGCCAGGUCUGAUGUGAAAUCUCGGGGCUCAACCCCAAGCGUGCAUCGGAAACCGGCUUGCUAGAGUCUGGGAGAGGAGAGUGGAAUUCCUGGUGUAGCGGUGAAAUGCGUAGAUAUCAGGAGGAACACCAGUUGCGAAGGCGGCUCUCUGGAACAGUACUGACGCUGAGGCGCGAAAGCUAGGGGAGCGAACAGGAUUAGAUACCCCAGUAGUCC
rnacentral:rRNA from 1 species